AAACGUCAAAUUCGUAUUACCUAAGAGCAAAAACAAAGCGAUAGCAAAGCAAACGGUUUUUAACACAGUGCUGCCUCUGUCGAACAAUCGGUAAAGUAAAACAGCAUUCAAUCUCUAUAGACACAGCAGAUUUUGGUAUUACGUAUGAGUUUUAAGAGCGAUCGAAUAGCAAUCAGCGAACAAAUACAACUGUCAAAUAGCAAAUGGUAAAUCAUUGAUUGUUGGUCGAUCGCUCGCUGAUCGCUCAGUUCGUAACGCUGUUUAUUAAUAGUUUUAAGUUGAUUAUUAAGGGUUUUUGUUUCAAUUUGUGCCUAUUUGGAUAUGGCUAGUGUAUUUUUAUUGUUAGAAGCUAUGAAUGGGGAAACUAGAAAAGCGUAAGACAUCUACUUUGCGGCGCAAUCUUCGAGAUGAUGCCGAAGCUUUGGAUCUGCCUAAUAAUUAAAUUCCAAGAAUUGUGCGAUGAAUUAAGGCCUUAUAAGUCGCAAACACGCAGGAGAAAUAAAAAUUUGUGUUGAGUGUAAAUUUUUCAAACAAAUUUCGCUGUGUGGGUUGCAUUGAUUAACAUGCUGAAUAUUUUUUUAAUGGAAAGGAUUACCACAGUGUAAAUGUUCAAGUUAUAUGUUACAGUGAUUCAAAUAUAAUUAAUGUGGAUGCAUCAUUAAGUGGGGUGAGUCAUGAUGCAUAUAUCUGGAGAAACUGUGAAAUGCAGGCUCAAUUACAAAACUUACACAGUAGAGGAGAAAGGAUCUGGUUAUUAGGGGACUUGGGGCAUCCAUUAAUGACAUG